AUUGAACGCUGGCGGCAUGCCUUACACAUGCAAGUCGAACGGCAGCACGGGUGCUUGCACCUGGUGGCGAGUGGCGAACGGGUGAGUAAUACAUCGGAACAUGUCCUGUAGUGGGGGAUAGCCCGGCGAAAGCCGGAUUAAUACCGCAUACGAUCUACGGAUGAAAGCGGGGGACCUCCGGUCCUCGCGCUAUAGGGUUGGCCGAUGGCUGAUUAGCUAGUUGGUGGGGUAAAGGCCUACCAAGGCGACGAUCAGUAGCUGGUCUGAGAGGACGACCAGCCACACUGGGACUGAGACACGGCCCAGACUCCUACGGGAGGCAGCAGUGGGGAAUUUUGGACAAUGGGCGAAAGCCUGAUCCAGCAAUGCCGCGUGUGUGAAGAAGGCCUUCGGGUUGUAAAGCACUUUUGUCCGGAAAGAAAUCCUUGGCCCUAAUACGGUCGGGGGAUGACGGUACCGGAAGAAUAAGCACCGGCUAACUACGUG
rnacentral:rRNA from 1 species